CUCUAGCCAUGGAACGCUUGUCUUGAUGUCCUAAGACUGACUAGUACGUUUCCUCGAACCAUCGCCGUCCCAAUGAUCCUAUUCAGGAUCCGGGAUGUUACACGUAAUCUUGGAAAUUUCAUCGUGAUGGGGAUAGAUCAUUGCAAUUGUUGGUCUUCAACGAGGAAUUCCUAGUAAGCGCGAGUCAUCAACUCGCGUUGACUACGUCCC
rnacentral:ncRNA from 2 species